UCGGGAAUUUUCCACAAUGGGCGAAAGCCUGAUGGAGCAACGCCGCGUGCAGGAUGAAGGCCUUCGGGUUGUAAACUGCUUUUAUAUGUGAAGAUUAUGACGGUAGCAUAUGAAUAAGGAUCGGCUAACUCCGUGCCAGCAGCCGCGGUCAUACGGAGGAUCCAAGCGUUAUCCGGAAUUACUGGGCGUAAAGAGUUGCGUAGGUGGCAGAGUAAGUAGAUAGUGAAAGCGUUCGGCUCAACCGGAUAUACAUUAUCUAAACUGCUCAGCUAGAGGACGAGAGAGGUAGAUGGAAUUUCUAGUGUAGGAGUGAAAUCCGUAGAUAUUAGAAGGAACACCGAUGGCGUAGGCAGUCUACUGGCUCGUUUCUGACACUAAGGCACGAAAGCGUGGGGAGCAAACGGGAUUAGAUACCCCUGUAGUCC
rnacentral:rRNA from 1 species